rnacentral:lncRNA from 1 species
ACAUUCUGAGGAAGUGGGUGUUAGAAUUUCAACAUACGAAUUUUGGAGUGGAGAACACAAUUUAAUGCAUAACAGCUCUUUUCAUCUCUCAGCAAACUAGGUCUCAGGUCUGAAGUCCACUGCGGUCAGCCUUCCCUGGUGGUGAGCUGCUGUCAGAACCUCCCCACUACUCCUCUGGGUGGCCCCAGUCUUGUGCCUAUUUCCCUCUCGUGGUCAUCAAGUCUCGCCCAGAUGGAGUCUCAGUUUUAUAAGGGGGAGUUUCCCUGCACAAGCUCUCUCUCUUUGUCUGCUGCCAUUCAUGUAAAAUGUGACUUGCUCCUCCUUGCCUUCCGUCAUGAUUGUGAUGCCUCCCAGCCAUGUGGAAAUGCCUUGGUUCAAAUCAACACUGAGAACAGAGAUGACAGAUGAAGGCAAGAACGCCUAACCGCAGAGGUUUCCUCCAGCAACAUUUUACCAACACAUUCUAAUCCUCAGCAAAGCCAGCAGAAUGAAGGUUUCUGAUCAGAAAAGCAACUAUAAAAUACUGCCUUAUUCACGUGGCCUGUUUAUUCCUGGAGUGUUUUUCAGAGGGAACUGGAUGUAACCUUUUAUAGGACCAGAAGGCAGGACUAUAAUUUCUAAAUUGUCAAUAAAUCCAUCUAGGAGCGAGUACUUUAUAACUCUGGAUCCUGAUGUGCUGUGAAGGAAAAAUACCUUGAGCCUUCAGAUGCCAGCAGAGCAAAGCCAGUCUAUGUUCUCAAGUCCACAGGCUCGCCCACAAGGUGGGACAGUACACCUUGUGUCCAAGAGUGAGAACCCAUGGGCGUGAGGGAGUCUUGGCAGGGGUGGCAUGGUGUGAAAUCUGUUUUUAUUUAAUUCAAGAUGGAGUCUGCUUAUAAUGCAAUUUUGAAUAACUUUUUAUUUAUUCCAUCUUAUUCUACAAAAUAUGUUUCUUAUGAAAAGAUAACAUAUCAAGGGAUAUAAGGUAAAACAAAAGCCUGGGUAAGAUUAGCAUGCAUAUAGAAACAGAACUAUCAUUUGACCCAGCAAUCCCAUUACUGGGUAUAUACCCAAAGGAAUAGAAAUCAUUCUACCAUAAAGACACAUACAUGCAUGUGUACAUUGCAGCACUAUUCGCAAGAGCAAAGACAUGGAAUCAACCUAAAUGCCCAUCAGGGACAACAGAUAGAAUUUUUUUAUUUAAAAAAAAAUUUUUUUUAUUUUUAUUUAUUUAUUUUUUUGAGACAGAGUCCCCCUCUGUCACCCAGGCUGGAGUGCAGUGGUGCGACCUCGGCUCACUGCAAGCUCCACCUCCCAGGUUCACACCAUUCUCCUGCCUCAGCCUCCUGAGUAGCUGGGAUUACAGGUACUUGGCAAUUUUUUGUAUGUUUAGUAGAGACGGGGUUUCGCCGUGCUAGCCAGGAUGGUCUCGAUCUCCUGACCUCGCGAUCUGCCUGCCUCGGCCUCCCAAAGUGCUGGGAUUACAGGCGUGAGCCACCACACCCGGCCAGAUAGAAUUUUUAAAAGUGUGGUACAUAUACACCAUGGAAUACUAUGUUGUUCUGUAUGGAAUACUAUGCAGCCAAAAAAGAAUGAGAUCAUGUCUUUUAUAGGAACAUGAAUGGAGCUGGAGGCCAUUAUCCUUAGAAAACGAAUACUGCAUGUUCUCACUUGUAAGUGGGAGCUAAGGCCGGUCUCAUUUGGGAGGCCGAGGCAGGCAGAUCACGAGGUCAGGAGAUCGCGAGACCAUCCUGGCUAACACGGUGAAACCCCGUCUCUAGUAAGAAAUACAAAAAAUUAGACGGUCCUGGUGGCGGUGCCUGUAGUGCCAGCUAUUCCAGAGGCUGAGGCAGGAGAAUGGCGUGAACCUGGGAGGUGGAGCCUGCAGUGAGCCGUGAUGGCGCCACUGCACUCCAGCCUGGGCGACAGAGGGAGACUCUGUUUCAAAAAAAUAAAAAAUAAAAAUAAGCGGGAGCUAAAAGAUGAGAACUCAUGGACACAAAGCGGGGAACAACAGACACUGGGACCUACUUGAGAGUGGAGGGUGGGAGGAGGGAGAGGAUCUGGAAAAAUAACUACUGGGUAGUAGGCUUAGCAUCUGGGUGACAAAAUAAUCUGUACACCAAACCCCCAUGACACAAGUUUACCUAUAUAACAAACCUGCACACGGACCUCUGAACUUAAAAUAAAAGUUAAAAAAAAAAAAAAAAAAAAAAGAUUAGCAAGCAGAAACGCCUAUACAGGGCACCAAAACUUCACUCCCCACUCAAACCUUGCUCCACACCUUCCCCAUCCACAUAAAGUGCACUUUAGCUCCCUGGAAUUCUUCCAGUUGCCAGAAUGCAGGUCUUCUCCCCAGUAGGUGGUUCGUCUUCAGGUCAGGAAUGCCAGCACCCCACCUCCUUUCCCUUAGGAAACUCACACCGCCUCAGGCCUGAAGGGGACUUCUUCAAAUGAAGUCCUGUCUUGUUAUGUUCUCAUAGCAAGGGCCCUUCCCUUCACAGCACUUUUCAGUUUGUGCAUUUAUCUGAGUAAUAAAUAAAUAUCUGUUACUUCCUCUAAACUGGAAGCUUCAUGAGGACAGGAUUCCUUCUCCUUUUGCUCCCCAUCAUAUCUCCAGCAGCCAGCUGGCACAUACGGGCACUCCGUACAUACUGGUUGAAUAAAUGAAGCCUCCCAGCAGUCAAAGAAAAGAGAAAGGCAUAAUAAGUUAAAAUAUUUAGAAAGUCAAUAUAUCAAGACAAACAGCUUUUCCUGCAUUCUGAGUUUUAAGCAAAAUUUCUCCCAUGGGUCCUUAAAAACAGAACAUUGUAUGAAUUUGUAGACAUCUUUUUGUUGAUGUAAUAAUACAUUUUAUUUUUUAUAUUUUUUUAUUUUUAUUUUUUGAGACAGAGUUUCACUCUUUUUUUUUUUUUUUUUUUUUUUUGAGACGGAGUCUCACUCUGUUACCCAGGCUGGAGUGCAGUGGUGUGAUCUCGGCUCACUGCAACCUCCAUCCCCCAGGUUCAAGUGAUUCUCCUGCCUCAGCCUCCUGAGUAGCUGGGAUUACAGGCGCCUGCCACCACACCCAGCAAAUUUUUUUAUUUUUAGUAGAGACAGGGUUUCAUCGUGUUGGCCAGGCAGGUCUCGAACUCCUGACCUCAGGUGAUCCACCCUCCUCGGCCUUCCAAAGUGCUGGGAUCAUAGGCGUGAGCCACCACGCCUGGCCUAAUAACACAUUUUAAACAGCUGCUUCUUAAAGCUUCCCUCAGUACAAAGAUUUUGAGGGAGGCCAAAUCACAAUUCAGUAGAAAUAAUUCUACAGGACCCAAAGCAACAUGAUCCAGGAACACAGUUCUCUCAGGGCUCUGGUUUCAUGCAAAGGUAAAACAAUGUGAGAGAAAUUGAGCAAGAGGGACUGCACAUCCUUCAGGCCCUGCUCUGCAAGUAUUUCUUCCAGUCAGGAUUAUGGUCUGAUUGGACAGCUGAGAGGUGAAAGUUACCGUCUCUGUGAACACAGAAAGGGCAGAUCCACAUUCAGUCUUUGAUCGUCAGCUGGAAAGGGAAUGAUAAUUCAAUUGACUAUUGUUCAGGAUGGAGCUUUCUUCAUUCUGCUGGAGAAAGAAUGAAUCCUUGGUCUCAUUCAUUUAAGGAUGACUGUGGUUCAUACUCCCCUCUUGUGGCCACUUCCAAGUAUACUGGCCUGUACCCAGGAGCCCAGUAAGGCAAAAGAGAUAUCAAAUUCCUUUAUAUAUGUUAGUUAACCUAGGAAUUGCUCAUUCUUUUUUUCCUUCUAGAAUGUCAGACCAGUUUUUAGAAAUUGGCAGAUGUUGAACAGCAUGUUAAAACGAGGGUCAAUUGAACAUAUUAAAUCUUCAUUGGUCAAUAUUUUUAAAUGUUUAAAAGGCUCAAUAUUUGGGCCAAAGAGGGUAGACAAAUCACGCAAAUGCAUGAGAAUCCUGAUGGUUCCUUACACAUUACCCUUCCUGAAGUAUGUUUGCCUUCUCUCAAUUUGGUUCUCUUCAAGUAACACAUCCAUAGAUUUGGAAUUUUGGGGGCAUGUGGGAAGGAAUGAUCUGGUGAAUGAAGCAAUCAAUAGAGUUGCAAAUGCUCAUUUUACAAAUAUUUAAGUACUUGCCACUGUGGGGAAUCAAGGUUAUACAAGAAAAUGAUCCCUGGUGGGGCACAAUGGUUCAUGUCUGUAAUCCCAGCACUUUGGGAGGCUCAGGGGGGAAGAUCACUUGAGCUCAGGAGUUUGAGACCAUCCUGAGCAACACAGGGAGACAUCCAUCCCUGGAAAAAAAAAAUUUUUUUUAAUUAGCCAGGCCUGGUGGCUUAAGCCUGUAGUCCCAGCUACUUGGAAGGCUGAGGUAGGAGGAUCGCUUGAGCCUGGGAGGUCAAGGCUGCAGUGAGCCAUGAUUGGCCCAUGGCACCCCAGCCUGGGUGACAGAGCAAGACCCUGAGGAAGGAAGGAAGGAAGGAAGGAAGGAGGGAGGGAGGGAGGGAGGGAGGGAGGGAAGGAAGAGAGAGAGAGAGAGAAAGAAAGAAAGAGAAAGAAAGGAAAGAAGGAAAGAAAGGAAAGGAGGAAGGAAGGAUGGAAGGACAGAAGGAAGGAAGGGAAAGAAAGAAAGAGGGAAGGAAGGAAGAAAGAAAAAGAAAAGCAAGGAAAGAAAGAAGGAAAGAAAAGAAAGAAAGGAAAGGAGGAAGGGAGGAAGGAAGGAUGGAAGGAAGGGAAAGAAAGAAGGAAGGAAGGAAGAAAGAAAGAAAAGAAAAGCAAGGAAAGAAAGGAAAGAAGGAAAGAAAAGAAAGAAAGGAAAGAAGGAAGGGAGGAAAGAAGGAAGGAAGGAAAGAAAAGAAAGGAAAGAAAGAAAGAAAAAAGAAAGAAGGAAGGAAGGAAAGAAAGAAAAAGAAAGAAAGAAAGAAA